rnacentral:lncRNA from 8 species
UUUGGAAUAGUUUUUCUUGUAAAUACAGAUCUACAAACGGAGAUGUUUUCACCAGCAGAUGGCUGCAUUCAGUACAGAACUACGUCCUGACUACAGACACUAAGACAAAGAAAACCACUUCCUAGUCAGUCAAUUAAACUGUCAGCUGAAUGGCCAGUUGACCCUCUGAUCGACCUCCGUCUGGAUAAGUCACCUGGAAUAGUCAGGAUAUGGUGCCUAAUGUCAUUGAAACAAAACUUAAAGGGAUAGGUCACCAAAAUGACAACAUUAGUUAGAUGGUUCCUUUCCUUGAACGUAGUCUCUGGGCCAACCAGGAGAGUCUGAUCCACUGUUAGGAUUUGUCUACUUAGCCACUGCCAUCAACUGCCAUCAAAGGGGAAGUUGAGGAUUUUACACCUUGAUGCUAGCUGGUUCCUCACUCUGAAAGUAGUCUGUGGACCAGGUGAAACUAGCAUCCAUGGUUCAGUUGUCUGUCAUCAGCCACUACAAACUUCAGUUAACUUUAGGCAAAGAGUUUCUAAACUAGCAACAUCGCAAGACUUCCGGGCAUGCUUGUGAAACAGACCAAACAGACCAGGUUUGGGGUUUGGGGUUCGAGAAGUCAAUGAGAAGUUCAUUUUGUGGUUUUGUUUCUCUAAAUCUAAAGGCACAACCUAGACUGGAGACAAUGUCUUAAAUAGUUGAACAUGUUAUUACUCCAACGUUGUGAAAGUGACAAACUGACACACUUUCAUUGGUCAAAAACAACUUUAUAUCAAAGGAGUGCCUAGAUAGUUUGUGUGUGUGUUGGUAUUGAUAUGUAGGCUGUGUGUAUUGAUAUUGAUAUGUAGGCUGUGUGUAUUGGUAUUGAUAUGUAGCCUGUGUGUAUUGAUAUGUAGGCUGUGUGUAUUGGUAUUGAUAUGUAGGCUGUGUGUGUUGGUAUUGAUAUGUAGGCUGUGUGUGUUGGUAUUGAUAUGUAGGCUGUGUGUGUUGGUAUUGAUAUCAAGGCUGUGUGUGUUGGUAUUGAUAUGUAGGCUGUGUGUGUUGAUAUGUAGGCUGU